GGGUUGUGAGGUUAAGCGACUAAGCGUACACGGUGGAUGCCCUGGCAGUCAGAGGCGAUGAAGGACGUGCUAAUCUGCGAUAAGCGUCGGUAAGGUGAUAUGAACCGUUAUAACCGGCGAUUUCCGAAUGGGGAAACCCAGUGUGUUUCGACACACUAUCAUUAACUGAAUCCAUAGGUUAAUGAGGCGAACCGGGGGAACUGAAACAUCUAAGUACCCCGAGGAAAAGAAAUCAACCGAGAUUCCCCCAGUAGCGGCGAGCGAACGGGGAGGAGCCCAGAGCCUGAAUCAGUAUGUGUGUUAGUGGAAGCGUCUGGAAAGGCGCGCGAUACAGGGUGACAGCCCCGUACACAAAAAUGCACAUAUUGUGAGCUCGAUGAGUAGGGCGGGACACGUGGUAUCCUGUCUGAAUAUGGGGGGACCAUCCUCCAAGGCUAAAUACUCCUGACUGACCGAUAGUGAACCAGUACCGUGAGGGAAAGGCGAAAAGAACCCCGGCGAGGGGAGUGAAAAAGAACCUGAAACCGUGUACGUACAAGCAGUGGGAGCACGCUUAGGCG
rnacentral:rRNA from 1 species